AGUGAACGCUGGCGGUAGGCCUAACACAUGCAAGUCGAACGGCAGCACAGUAAGAGCUUGCUCUUACGGGUGGCGAGUGGCGGACGGGUGAGGAAUACAUCGGAAUCUACUUUUUCGUGGGGGAUAACGUAGGGAAACUUACGCUAAUACCGCAUACGACCUACGGGUGAAAGCAGGGGAUCUUCGGACCUUGCGCGAUUGAAUGAGCCGAUGUCGGAUUAGCUAAUUGGCGGGGUAAAGGCCCACCAAGGCGACGAUCCGUAGCUGGUCUGAGAGGAUGAUCAGCCACACUGGAACUGAGACACGGUCCAGACUCCUACGGGAGGCAGCAGUGGGGAAUAUUGGACAAUGGGCGCAAGCCUGAUCCAGCCAUACCGCGUGGGUGAAGAAGGCCUUCGGGUUGUAAAGCCCUUUUGUUGGGAAAGAAAAGCAGCAGGUUAAUACCCCGCUGUUCUGACGGUACCCAGAGAAUAAGCACCGGCUAACUUCGUG
rnacentral:rRNA from 1 species